rnacentral:rRNA from 1 species
CUCCUGGAAACGGGGUGGUAAUGCCGGAUGUUCCAGUUGAUCGCAUGUUCUUCUGGGAAAGCUUUCGCGGUAUGGGAUGGGGUCGCGUCCUAUCAGCUUGACGGCGGGGUAACGGCCCACCGUGGCUUCGACGGGUAGCCGGCCUGAGAGGGCGACCGGCCACAUUGGGACUGAGAUACGGCCCAGACUCCUACGGGAGGCAGCAGUGGGGAAUAUUGCACAAUGGGCGCAAGCCUGAUGCAGCGACGCCGCGUGAGGGAUGGAGGCCUUCGGGUUGUAAACCUCUUUUAUCGGGGAGCAAGCGUGAGUGAGUUUACCCGUUGAAUAAGCACCGGCUAACUACGUGCCAGCAGCCGCGGUAAUACGUAGGGUGCAAGCGUUAUCCGGAAUUAUUGGGCGUAAAGGGCUCGUAGGCGGUUCGUCGCGUCCGGUGUGAAAGUCCAUCGCUUAACGGUGGAUCCGCGCCGGGUACGGGCGGGCUUGAGUGCGGUAGGGGAGACUGGAAUUCCCGGUGUAACGGUGGAAUGUGUAGAUAUCGGGAAGAACACC